UACAGAGGUGGCAAGCGUUGUUCGGAAUUACUGGGCGUAAAGGGCGCGUAGGCGGUUCGUUAAGUCCUGUGUGAAAUCCCCCGGCUCAACUGGGGAACUGCACAGGAAACUAGCGGGCUUGAGUUCGGGAGAGGGAAGCGGAAUUCCGGGUGUAGCGGUGAAAUGCGUAGAUAUCCGGAGGAACACCAGUGGCGAAGGCGGCUUCCUGGACGACUGUUGACGCUGAGGUGCGAAAGCGUGGGGAGCAAACAGG
rnacentral:rRNA from 1 species